rnacentral:rRNA from 1 species
GGCCUAACACAUGCAAGUCGAGCGGUAGAGAGAAGCUNGCUUCUCUUGAGAGCGGCGGACGGGUGAGUAAUGCCUAGGAAUCUGCCUGGUAGUGGGGGAUAACGUUCGGAAACGGACGCUAAUACCGCAUACGUCCUACGGGAGAAAGCAGGGGACCUUCGGGCCUUGCGCUAUCAGAUGAGCCUAGGUCGGAUUAGCUAGUUGGUGAGGUAAUGGCUCACCAAGGCGACGAUCCGUAACUGGUCUGAGAGGAUGAUCAGUCACACUGGAACUGAGACACGGUCCAGACUCCUACGGGAGGCAGCAGUGGGGAAUAUUGGACAAUGGGCGAAAGCCUGAUCCAGCCAUGCCGCGUGUGUGAAGAAGGUCUUCGGAUUGUAAAGCACUUUAAGUUGGGAGGAAGGGCAGUUACCUAAUACGUGAUUGUUUUGACGUUACCGACAGAAUAAGCACCGGCUAACUCUGUGCCAGCAGCCGCGGUAAUACAGAGGGUGCAAGCGUUAAUCGGAAUUACUGGGCGUAAAGCGAGCGUAGGUGGUUUGUUAAGUUGGAUGUGAAAUCCCCGGGCUCAACCUGGGAACUGCAUUCAAAACUGACUGACUAGAGUAUGGUAGAG